AUUGAACGCUGGCGGCAGGCCUAACACAUGCAAGUCGAAUGGUAACAGGAAACAGCUUGCUGUUUCGCUGACGAGUGGCGGACGGGUGAGUAAUGUCUGGGAAACUGCCUGAUGGAGGGGGAUAACUACUGGAAACGGUAGCUAAUACCGCAUAACGUCGCAAGACCAAAGAGGGGGACCUUCGGGCCUCUUGCCAUCGGAUGUGCCCAGAUGGGAUUAGCUAGUAGGUGGGGUAACGGCUCACCUAGGCGACGAUCCCUAGCUGGUCUGAGAGGAUGACCAGCCACACUGGAACUGAGACACGGUCCAGACUCCUACGGGAGGCAGCAGUGGGGAAUAUUGCACAAUGGGCGCAAGCCUGAUGCAGCCAUGCCGCGUGUAUGAAGAAGGCCUUCGGGUUGUAAAGUACUUUCAGCGGGGAGGAAGGGAGUAAAGUUAAUACCUUUGCUCAUUGACGUUACCCGCAGAAGAAGCACCGGCUAACUCCG
rnacentral:rRNA from 1 species